rnacentral:tRNA from 1 species
GUUACAUUAGCAAAAAGUGCGGUUGAGUUAGAUUUAAUAGAUGUGGUUUGUAGAAUCACAUGUAAUA